CACAAGCGGUGGAUUAUGUGGUUUAAUUCGAUGAUACGCGAGGAACCUUACCAAGACUUAAAUGGGAGUGGACAGGCUUAGAAAUAGGCCCUCCUUCGGGCCGCUUCCAAGGUGCUGCAUGGUUGUCGUCAGCUCGUGCCGUGAGGUGUUAGGUUAAGUCCUGCAACGAGCGCAACCCCUGUCGCCAGUUGCUACCAUUCAGUUGAGGACUCUGGCGAGACUGCCUACGCAAGUAGAGAGGAAGGUGGGGAUGACGUCAAAUCAUCACGGCCCUUACGUCUUGGGCCACACACGUAAUACAAUGGCCGGUACAGAGGGCAGCUACACAGCGAUGUGAUGCAAAUCUCGAAAGCCGGUCUCAGUUCGGAUUGGAGUCUGCAACUCGACUCUAUGAAGCUGGAAUCGCUAGUAAUCGCGCAUCAGCCAUGGCGCGGUGAAUACGUUCCCGGGCCUUGUACACACCGCCCGUCAAGCCAUGGAAGUCUGGGGUACCUGAAGUCGGUGACC
rnacentral:rRNA from 1 species